AACGAACGCUGGCGGCAUGCCUAACACAUGCAAGUCGAACGAAGUCUUCGGACUUAGUGGCGCACGGGUGCGUAACGCGUGGGAAUCUGCCCUUGGGUGCGGAAUAACUUCUCGAAAGGGAUGCUAAUACCGCAUAAUGUCGUAAGACCAAAGAUUUAUCGCCCAAGGAUGAGCCCGCGUAAGAUUAGCUAGUUGGUGGGGUAAAAGCCUACCAAGGCGACGAUCUUUAGCUGGUCUGAGAGGAUGAUCAGCCACACUGGGACUGAGACACGGCCCCAGACUCCUACGGGAGGCAGCAGUGGGGAAUAUUGGACAAUGGGCGAAAGCCUGAUCCAGCAAUGCCGCGUGAGUGAUGAAGGCCCUAGGGUUGUAAAGCUCUUUUACCAGGGAUGAUAAUGACAGUACCUGGAGAAUAAGCUCCGGCUAACUCCGU
rnacentral:rRNA from 1 species